AUUGAACGCUGGCGGCAGGCCUAACACAUGCAAGUCGAACGGGUGGCGGACGGGAGAGCUAUGCUUGGGCAUCUGGCUUAUGGAUGGGGUUAACUAAGGGAAACUGUAGCUACUACCGCUCACCAUAGCAUGAGCCCAAGUUGGAUUAGGUAGUUGGAGAGGUAAAGGCUCACCAAGCCGACGAUCUCUACCUGGUCUGAGAGGAUGACCAGCCACACGGGGACUGAGACACGGCCCAGACUCCUACGGGAGGCAGCAGUGGGGAAUAUUGCGCAAUGGGGGAAAGCUGACCCAGCCAUGCCGCGUGAAUGAAGAAGGCCUUCGGAUUGUAAAGCUCUUUCGGUAGCGAGGCGUUAACUACAGAAGAAGCACCGGCUAACUCCGUGCCAGCAGCCGCGGUAAUAC
rnacentral:rRNA from 1 species